AGAUGACUUGAGCAUCCAUGGAUUUCGGUACCAAUGGGAGGUCCUGGAGCCAAUCCCCUGGAGACCAAGGGAUGACUGUGUAAUCUGUGUUCUCCCUGUGUGUCUGCGUCUCCAUGCCCAAAUUUCCCUCUUCCUAUAAGGACCCGGGUACCAUCGGAUUUAAGGCCCAUCCUAAGACAGUACACCUUCGUAUUAACUUGGCUACAUCUGCAAAGACGAUUUCUAAGUCAAGUCACAUUCACAGGCACCGAAGGUCUUCCAGAUGCCCAUUGCUGUGCUGGAGACUGGGAUACUGUGUGAGAACAAGAGAUGCGUCAGGACC
rnacentral:lncRNA from 13 species